UACGUAGGGGGCAAGCGUUGUCCGGAUUUAUUGGGCGUAAAGAGCUCGUAGGCGGUUUGGUAAGUCAGGUGUGAAAUCUCCACGCUCAACGUGGAGGGGCCACCUGAUACUGCCAUGACUGGAGUCCGGUAGAGGAGUGUGGAAUUCCCGGUGUAGCGGUGAAAUGCGCAGAUAUCGGGAGGAACACCGGUGGCGAAGGCGGGUCUCUGGGCAGUAACUGACGCUGAGGAGCGAAAGCGUGGGGAGCGAACAGG
rnacentral:rRNA from 1 species